AUUGAACGCUGGCGGCAGGCCUAACACAUGCAAGUCGAGCGAGCGGCGGACGGGUGAGUAAUGUAUGGGGACUGCCCGAUAGAGGAGGAUAACUACUGGAAACGGUGGCUAAUACCGCAUACUAUCGGAUAACCCAUAUGGGAUUAGCUAGUAGGUGGGGUAAAGGCUCACCUAGGCGAAGAUGUCUAGCUGGUCUGAGAGGGUGAUCAGCCAAACUGGGAUUGAGACACGGCACAGACUCCUGCGGAGGCAGCAGUGGGGAAUAUUGCGAAAUGGGGGAAAGGCUGAUGCAGCCAUGCCGCGUGUAUGAAGAAGGCUUUAGGGUUGUAAAGUACUGUCAGCGGGGAGGCGUUACCCACAGAAGAAGCACCGGCUAACUCCGUGCCAGCAGCAGCGGUAAUAC
rnacentral:rRNA from 1 species